ACAGGAGUCAGGCGGUGGGUGAUAAAAUCAAUCGUCGAGAGGGGAACAACCCAGACUAACAGCUAAGGUCCCUAAGUUACAUCUAAGUGGAAAACGAUGUGGAGUUACUGUGACAACCAGGAGGUUGGCUUAGAAGCAGCCAUCCUUUAAAGAAAGCGUAACAGCUCACUGGUCUAGUGAUUCUGCGCGGAAAAUAUAACGGGGCUAAGAUGUACACCGAAGCUUUAGAUUCAAUUUUUAAUUGAGUGGUAGGAGAGCGUUCUAUUCAGCGUAGAAGAUGUACCGGUAAGGAGCGUUGGAGCGGAUAGAAGUGAGCAUGCAGGCAUGAGUAGCGAUAAUUGAGGUGAGAAUCCUCAACGCCGAAAACCCAAGGUUUCCUACGCGAUGCUCGUCAUCGUAGGGUUAGUCGGGACCUAAGUCGAGUCCGAAAGGGGUAGACGAUGGCAAAUUGAUUAAUAUUUCAAUACCAACAUAUAAGCGCGAUGUGGGGACGCAUAGAGUUAAUCGAGGUCACUGAUGGAAUAGUGGCUCGAAGGACGUAGGCUGUUAAGUAGGCAAAUCCGCUUAACAUUAGGCCGAGAUCUUACAGGCUCUUGACACUCUUCGGAGGAGAUGGAGAAUCGAUGAUACUGUCGUGCCAAGAAAAGCCACUAAGUUUAUUAUAUGUUGCCCGUACCGUAAACCGACACAGGUGGGUGGGAUGAGUAUUCUAAGGCGCGUGGAAGAACCCUGGUUAAGGAACUCUGCAAACUAGCACCGUAUCUUCGGUAUAAGGUGUGCCUACUUUUGUAUAUGAACUUGCUUCAAAAAGCGAAAGAGGUUGCAACAAAGAGUCCCUCCCGACUGUUUACCAAAAACACAGCACUUUGCUAACACGUAAGUGGAUGUAUAAGGUGUGACGCCUGCCCGGUGCUCGAAGGUUAACUGAUGAUGUCAGCGCAAGCGAAGCAUUUGAUUGAAGCCCGAGUAAACGGCGGCCGUAACUAUAACGGUCCUAAGGUAGCGAAAUUCCUUGUCGGUUAAAUACCGACCUGCAUGAAUGGCGUAACGAGAUGGGAGCUGUCUCAACCAGGGAUCCAGUGAAAUUGUAGUGGAGGUGAAAAUUCCUCCUACCCGCGGAAAGACGGAAAGACCCCGUGCACCUUUACUACAGCUUGACACUGUAGCUUGGAUAUUCAUGUGCAGGAUAGGUGGGAGGCUAUGAUGACUAGACGCCAGUAGAGUCGGAGCCAUCCUUGAGAUACCACCCUUGAAUAUUUGAGUUACUAACUGCGUACAAUUAUCUUGUAUCAGGACAAUGUCUGGUGGGUAGUUUGACUGGGGCGGUCGCCUCCUAAAAAGUAACGGAGGCUUACAAAGGUUAGUUCAAAGCGGAUGGAAAUCGCUUGUUGAGUAUAAUGGCAUAAACUAGCUUGACUGUGAGACAUACAAGUCGAACAGAGACGAAAGUCGGUCAUAGUGAUCCGGUGGUUCUGUGUGGAAGGGCCAUCGCUCAAAGGAUAAAAGGUACGCCGGGGAUAACAGGCUGAUCUCCCCCAAGAGCUCACAUCGACGGGGAGGUUUGGCACCUCGAUGUCGGCUCAUCGCAUCCUGGGGCUGUAGUCGGUCCCAAGGGUAUGGCUGUUCGCC
rnacentral:rRNA from 1 species